rnacentral:rRNA from 1 species
UACGUAGGGUGCAAGCGUUAUCCGGAAUUAUUGGGCGUAAAGAGCUCGUAGGCGGUUUGUCGCGUCUGCUGUGAAAACUGGAGGCUCAACCUCCAGCCUGCAGUGGGUACGGGCAAACUAGAGUGCGGUAGGGGAGAUUGGAAUUCCUGGUGUAGCAGUGAAAUGCGUAGAUAUCAGGAGGAAUACCGAUGGCGAAGGCAGGUCUCUGGGACGGUACUGACGCUGAGACGCGAAAGCGUGGGGAGCGAACAGG